UGAACAGAGAGCGAACAAGAAGGUGGGGAAGUUGGUGACCCAGGGAAGGACAUCAGUUCAUUGGCGUGCAUUCACGCGAGAGGUAGCUGUGUUCCAAAAUGUUUUUCAAGACAAUGGAAUCGUCUGGUUGGAAUAUUACUGAAGUUUCACGUUAUAAAGGCCUUAAAGAUUGAUGCUUUACAACGUUUGACAUGCUUGAACGAACGUAAAUAUAACUUUUUUUUUACUUUUCGUCGUGACAUUUUCUGCGUGCUUCCUACAUUUGGAGUAGCUAACUGAACGCGCUAACAACAAGGAGCUAUUUGGACAUAAAUUAUGGAGUUUAUCGAACAAAACAACAUUUAUUGUGGACCUGGGAAUUCCUGGAAGUGCCUUCUGAUGAAGAUCAACAAAGGACCUGAGCCCUAGGACCAUGCCUCAGGACUACCUGGCAUGAUGACUCCUUGCUGUCCCCAGUCCACCUGGCCGUGCUGCUGCUCCAGUUUCAACUGUUCUGCCUGCGGCUAUGGAACCCUGACCUGUUCACCGGACGUGCUUGUUGCACCCUCGACAACUACUAUGAUUAUUAUUAUUUGACCAUGCUGGUCAUUUAUGAACAUUUUAACAUCUUGAUCAUGUUCUGUUAUAAUAUCCACCCGGCACAGCCAGAAGAGGACUGGCCACCCCUCAUAGCCUGGUUCCUCUCUAGGUUUCUUCCUAGGUUUUUGCCUUUCUAGGGAGUUUUUCCUAGGGAGUUUUUCCUAGCCACCAUGCUUCUUUCACAUGUAUUGCUUGCUGUUUGGGGUUUUAGGCUGGGUUUCUGUACAGCACUUUGAGAUAUCAGCUGAUGUACGAAGGGCUAUAUAAAUAAAUUUGAUUUGAUUUGAUGAGUGGG
rnacentral:lncRNA from 1 species